rnacentral:rRNA from 1 species
UACGGGGGGAGCAAGCGUUGUUCGGAUUUACUGGGCGUAAAGGGCGCGUAGGCGGCCACCGCAAGUCGACUGUGAAAUCUCCGGGCUUAACCCGGAAAGGUCAGCCGAUACUGCGGGGCUAGAGUGCAGAAGAGGCAACUGGAAUUCUCGGUGUAGCGGUGAAAUGCGUAGAUAUCGAGAGGAACACCUGCGGCGAAGGCGGGUUGCUGGGCUGACACUGACGCUGAAAUGCGAAAGCUAGGGGAGCGAACGGG